rnacentral:rRNA from 1 species
UACGAGGGGGGCGAGCGUUUGUUCGGAAUUAUUGGGCGUAAAGGGUGCGUAGGCGGUUUGGUAAGUCUGAUGUGAAAUCUAUGGGCUCAACUCAUAGUCUGCAUCGGAAACUGCCGGGCUUGAGUGUGGGAGAGGUGAGUGGAAUUCCUGGUGUAGCGGUGAAAUGCGUAGAUAUCAGGAGGAACACCUGUGGCGAAAGCGGCUCACUGGACCAUAACUGACGCUGAUGCACGAAAGCUAGGGGGAGCAAACAGG